CUGUUGUUGUUCCGGUGGAGCCGGCGUGGUUGUCACAGUCACCGCCGAGGGCUGGUAACCCCCGGUGGCGAUCUGUUUCUCAGGCCAAUAUCCAGUAGGAGCAGUCAACGUUGGCGCGACAGUUACCGGCGAAGUCACCGGAGGAACUUUAUCAGGCAAUUUUUGAAAGUAAUACUCACCGGGGUAACCGGCCACCAAAUUAUCAUCACUGUUUUUUCUAUACAUAGUUUGCUGCUCCUGUUCUCUAAUCUGUAUCCUCUGCAACUGGGUCUGAAGGUUAACUGGAUCCGACCCUAUAACCCGAUCAUCGUGACCCACCCC
rnacentral:misc_RNA from 1 species